GAUGAACGCUGGCGGCGUGCCUAAUACAUGCAAGUCGAGCGAACAGAUAAGGAGCUUGCUCCUUUGAAGUUAGCGGCGGACGGGUGAGUAACACGUGGGUAACCUACCUAUAAGACUGGGAUAACUUCGGGAAACCGGAGCUAAUACCGGAUAACAUUUAGAACCGCAUGGUUCUAAAGUGAAGGAUGGUUUUGCUAUCACUUAUAGAUGGACCCGCGCCGUAUUAGCUAGUUGGUAAGGUAACGGCUUACCAAGGCGACGAUACGUAGCCGACCUGAGAGGGUGAUCGGCCACACUGGAACUGAGACACGGUCCAGACUCCUACGGGAGGCAGCAGUAGGGAAUCUUCCGCAAUGGGCGAAAGCCUGACGGAGCAACGCCGCGUGAGUGAUGAAGGGUUUCGGCUCGUAAAACUCUGUUAUUAGGGAAGAACAAAUGUGUAAGUAACUGUGCACAUCUUGACGGUACCUAAUCAGAAAGCCACGGCUAACUACGUG
rnacentral:rRNA from 1 species